UUAUAUGGUCAAGAAGAGAAGCGCAAACGGUGGAUGCCUUGGCAGUAAGAGGCGAAGAAGGACGUGGAAUCCUGCGAAAAGCUAUGGGGAGCUGGAAACGAGCGAUGAGCCAUAGAUGUCCGAAUGGGGGAACCCGGCUGCAGCGAUGCGGUCAUUUGCAUUUGAAUACAUAGGAUGCAAAGGCGAACUCGGGGAACUGAAACAUCUAAGUACCCGAAGGAAAAGAAAUCAAGAGAGAUUCUCCAAGUAGCGGCGAGCGAACGGGGAGGAGCCUGGCGUGAUUUAUUAUUGAACUGAGUAGAACAAUUUGGGAAAGUUGGCGAUAGAGGGUGAAAGCCCCGUAUACGAAGGUUUGAUGAGGAACUAGGCACGCGAGCAAGUAGGCCGGGACACGUGAAAUCCUGGUUGAAGAUGGGUGGACCAUCAUCCAAGGCUAAAUACUACUUACUGACCGAUAGUGAACCAGUACCGUGAGGGAAAGGUGAAAAGAACCCCGGAGAGGGGAGUGAAAUAGAAUCUGAAACCGUUUGCGUACAAGCAGUGGGAGCAU
rnacentral:rRNA from 1 species